AUUGAACGCUGGCGGCAGGCCUAACACAUGCAAGUCGAGCGAGCGGCGGACGUGUGAGUAAUGUAUGGGGAUCUGCCUGAUGGCGGGGGUUAACUACUGGAAACGGUAGCUAAUACCGCAUACCUGCAGAUGACCCCUUAUGGGAUUAGCUAGUAGGUGGGGUAAAGGCUCACCUAGGCGACGAUCUCUAGCUGGUCUGAGAGGAUGAUCAGCCAAACUGGGACUGAGACACGGCCCAGACUCCUACGGGAGGCAGCAGUGGGGAAUAUUGCACAAUGGGCGCAAGCCUGAUGCAGCCAUGCCGCGUGUAUGAAGAAGGCCUUAGGGUUGUAAAGUACUUUCAGCGGGGAGGCGUUACCCGCAGAAGAAGCACCGGCUAACUCCGUGCCAGCAGCCGCGGUAAUUC
rnacentral:rRNA from 1 species